rnacentral:lncRNA from 1 species
CUCUCUCUCUCUCUAUCUCACAUCCGUUCUCAUUUUCUCUCUAGCCAUAGAUAGAGUUCUCUUCCAUUUCAUAUGAGUAGGUACAGCUCUGUUCUGUAUCUAUAAAUAUAUCUAUAUCUAUAUCUAUAUCAUACAUACACAUAUAUAUAUAAUAUAUUUGUAUAUGUAUAAACUUAUAUAUCUGUCAGGAUGUAUUUUGUUGCGGCGGUCUCUAAUUCGCUUGGUGCAGGUCGGGACCGUGUUAUAUGUAUGUGUAUAUAUACAUAUAUACAUAUAUAGGUAUAUGUGAGGAAGAUGAAUAUGGUCCCGCCUUGCAUCAAUUGAAUCGGAGACGGCCGCGAAUGUGAGUUCGGCGCGGCUGAAGAUUGGAAUCUGUUGGAUCUUCAGUUUUUUGGAUAUUGGAGGUUGAUUAUGGUUUGUUAUAAUUUUUUUUGUUUUGAAUUUCUUUUGUUUUAUAGUUGCUGAAUUUUCAUUCGGGGUUACUAUUUUUACAUGCGUUUGAUACACGGUUUCCUCUCACAUGAAGCUGGAACCUAUUUUAUGCUCUCUAGACCAUGGAGAAAUAUCGAAAACACAUGUAAAACAUCAAUCCCUUUCCAUUAUAUUAAUUGAUCUUUUCUUUCUUUUUUACUUUUUACUUUUUUGGAUCUGCAGGUAUAGGUUGAUGCAGGUAUAUACAUACUCAAUUGAAAAGUUCCUGAAAGUUCAUUUACGAUUUUUUCUUUAUGUUGUCGUUGCAAAUCUAUCUAUUGAAUUGGCUGUUUUGGCUUUUGUCGAAUUGGAUGUUCUUUUUUCAAAGUCAAUUUGUGAAAUCCUAUGAAAUGCAUAUUAAGAAAUAUUAAAAUUAGUAGUAUUUUUUAGCAAGUAUACAAUGAUUAUAUCUGUUUAUCUUAAAACUAAAUAAGUUAGUAUUGAUUUUGAAUAAGUCAAAAUGUAUCUCUAUGAUUUUUACAAGUUGGCAUCUUUGCAGGUUUUGCAAAGAAAGCUAAAUAAUCUCCACUGUUAUUGAAAUUUAUUUUCCAGUUUCUUAAAAGUUAGCUUAAUUUUCUUUUCUUUUUCUUGAUUCUUUUUAAUGAUAUAUCUGUCACUGUUGUGCCCAUGCACUCUGUUUAUUUUGGCCAUGGAGUUCAGAUAAAAUGUUAAUAUCUUUUUUUAGCGUAUGCAAAAAAGUUGAAUAAAUUUCAUUUACAGUUUGCUGUACUUCUAAAAAUACAUUAUGCAUUUGAUUUUCAAUUGAGUCUUUCUAAUGAAUUAUCUGUUUCUACUCUGCAAAUGCAAUUUUGUUUUCUUUUUACAUCUUAGCCAUCUUAAGAAAAGGCCAUCUUUUUCAUAAUUUUGUGUGUUUUUUUUUGAGUUUUGGAUCAAACAUUGUCUGUUCAAUUCAAAUACUCGGAUAACUAUACUUUUUUGGGAAUACUUUGCUGUGAUAAAAUACUAGGUGAACUAGUUGUAACAAUAAAUGAUUUUUUUCUAGAAAUGAAUAGCCCAUAGUUACUCUAGAAUAAACUAUAGCACUUCCAUUUUGAUAGAUUCUGCAGGAAUUUUGUACCAAAUUUUAGGAGGUGGUGAAAUGGAGAAAGGGAACGGACAUAAUAGGGCUGCUUAACAAAUUGUGCUCCUAGCUACUCAACUCUACUCAUUUAUGAAGUUGAGUAAAGUUCGAGUACUAUGUUUAUUGGCUCAUUGCCCAACUCCAUAAAUUUUCAGACUAAGUUCUAUAGUCAACCGAGUUUUAGACUUUUGAAUUUUUGUUAAUAUUAUUUUAUUUGUAAUAAUAAUAUUUGUAAUAUAAAAAUGUUUAAAUGCUCAGUAAAGCUUGAUUGAUCUCGAGCUACUUGAUAAGUAAUCGAGUUUGAAUUCAGAAAUUAGUUUUGUUACUCGACUUGAACUUGAUGAAUUUCUUAAUGAGACAAGCUCACGUUGUUACUAUACAACUUGAUAACAAUUCUA